CACCGGCGGCUCGAGUGGUGGCCACUUUUAUUGGGUCUAAAGCGUCCGUAGCCGGCCUGGCAAGUCCCCUGGGAAAUCUGGCGGCUUAACCGUCAGGCGUCCAGAGGAUACUGCCAGGCUUGGGACCGGGAGAGGUGAGAGGUACCUCAGGGGUAGGGGUGAAAUCUUGUGAUCCCUGAGGGACCACCAGUGGCGAAGGCGUCUCACUAGAACGGGUCCGACGGUCAGGGACGAAAGCUGGGGGCACGAACCGG
rnacentral:rRNA from 1 species